rnacentral:rRNA from 1 species
UGCUCCAGAAUAGCUCUUGGAAACGGGUGGUAAUGCUGGAUGCUCCAACUUGACGCAUGUCUUGUUGGGAAAGUGUUUAGUGGCAUGGGAUGGGGUCGCGUCCUAUCAGCUUGUAGGCGGGGUAAUGGCCCACCUAGGCUUCGACGGGUAGCCGGCCUGAGAGGGCGGACGGCCACAUUGGGACUGAGAUACGGCCCAGACUCCUACGGGAGGCAGCAGUU